CGAAAUAAAGGAAAUGGUGUCUUCCUUACCCAACCGCAUUAAAAAGCUGAUGGCGCCUGAUUAGUU
rnacentral:ncRNA from 1 species